rnacentral:rRNA from 1 species
AUGGAGGAAUCCUUCACGGCCCCCUCCGUCGAUCCCCCCUCCGUCGACCUCCCCGACGUCGAUCCCGCCUCCGUCGACUCCCCCGCCGUCGAUCCCGCCUCCGUCGACUCCCCCGCCGUCGAUCCCGCCUCCUUCCACCCCCCUGCAGUCGAUCCCGCCAGCGCCAACCCAUCCCGCUACCCCUCCUGGGUCCUCCUCGACAGCAGAGCCUACUUCGCCCACCCCAUCAACGCCACCACCGUGAAGGCCACGACGAGCACGGGCCACAACUUCGAGGUCACCUUUUGUCUCGCCCGGCCGCCUGCCGUCUCCUACUUCUGCGUCCACUUUCCCGGAAUCAACGUACUAGAGUGUUGCAUCACGGAGCCCCGCGUCAUUUCCUCCGCCAAUGACCUCGCGCUCCUAUGCUUUCCCUUCAGAACUGGCACAUCGAGCACCUACGACUACUUCGUCUACAGGGCUGCCUCCAGCAAGCCCACCAUCAGAUCGGUCCCGUGUCCUCCUCCAACCUACAGGCACUCAUGGCAUGCAGCCAUCGUAUCCCGCGAGGAUGGCAGUUUUUUGGUCGCCGAUCUUUCCCUGGGUCGGGACCUUGGGCACUACAACCUGCAUAUCUUCUCGUCGGUGACAGACGAGUGGAGCACCCAACAUGUGCAGCUGAAGGAGCAUCCCGGUAUCCUGCCAAAGCUAACUCACAAGGUGAUCUCUCUUGGAGAAGGAACAGUGGGAUGGGUCGACCUCUGGCGCGGCAUUGUUGUCUGUGAUGUGCUUCAGAAGGAUCCUGUUCUCCGCUUCAUCCCGCUGCCCAGGCCGCUGCCCAAGGCUGAUUAUGACGAGCCCCCGGAAAGCCAAGCAUUGGCCGAUUAUGACGCGCGGUCAGUGCGGGACGUCACCGGCUUCCCCAAUGGUUUCAUCGACUUCAUCGAGAUCGAACAUUGUUUCAAAUGGUCUAAGUUUAUCAACAUGAGGAGUUUCAAGACGACGGCCUAUCUUGAUUUCCUAGAUACCAUCAGUGAUAAUGACCUCCUUAGGUAUCAUGAAGAGGACAUUAUGGAGGAUAAAAUUAAGUGUGCACCUGAUGGCUGGAAGAUCCGAACAGGCUUUAGGAGCAUUUCUUGGAACCAUUGGAGAAAAGGGUACAAUUUCCAUGUUGAUGACAUAUCAGCCGAACCACAACUUGCUCUGCAGCUACUUCACCUGUGGGAUAGUAGAACUGAGAAAUGCAGAGUGAGAAACCUGAAGACUACACCAGGCUUCCCGACCUUCACCAUUUAUGGUCGUGCUAUUGUCCUCAUGUCUAAGGUGGGUGUCGACCAAGUCACAUGGAUGCUUGGUGUAGAUCUUUUGAAGAAGUCGCUGGAAGUCAUCAAGCCAUACCAUGCCUCGAGAGUCGAUUAUUACAAUCCGACCUUCAUUUCCUGUGAAUUCUCCAAAUAUCUGAAUACCGCUCCAAUUCAAAGGCUAUAUGAUGAGCAAGUUGCAGCAGAGUCUGCUCAGAAUGAGGAAGUUGCAGCAGAGUCUGCACAGAAUGGUGUGCCUAAUGAUCAACUUCCAUUGGGGGAUACUGUUCCAAAACAAUGUGCAACCCCAGCAAUACAAGUGGAAUGGGGGGUGUUCCCAUUAGGACUUCUAAUGAAUAUGGUUUUGGCGAACACCAAGACGACUAUCAGCAGCUACCCAGUCUGA